UGGAUUUAUUUACAGUUUGGAC
rnacentral:piRNA from 2 species